GUGACAACAGCUCUCUGAGGAGGAUGCCUUGGGUACCAGUUUUAUAGAUGAGGGAGCUGAAGUAACACUACUCCACUCUCUCAGCCAACGAAUGGAAAGCCAGCACCACAGCUGUCAAUUCUGGGUCCGAAUCUACUGAGUCUAAGCAGAGGCUCUAAACAUGGAGCCCUUGAACACAAGGUCAGCGUCACCUGGGGACUCACUAGAUACUCUGCUCACCUUCUAGGGCUGUGUCCACAAUCUUGAAGCUGCCAGGAAACCUGCAAAGCCAUUCCAUGGAGAGACGGUGAGACUGAAUGUCCAUUCCACUGGCCUUGGUGGAUGCUGGUCAACAGCACAAAGGACUUAAGACUUCGAGGGGGAAGGACAAGAUAUCAUCGCUGUGACAUAGUCUACCUGAGGGGUCCCACUCUACAGACCACAGAGAAGCCUGAGUGAGUGAAUGCUGAGCCGAAGACCAUAGGGUUAGAGCAUUCUGAGCUCAGAGGGACGCAGGACAGCCACCAGCCACUCAGUGCAUGCCCUUAUUGUAAGUUUCUGUUGUGUGAUUCCUGGCUAAUGUACAGUCCA
rnacentral:sRNA from 1 species